rnacentral:lncRNA from 1 species
UUAACACAAUGAAUAAAUCACUGUCAGUUUUAAUAUUUUUAAUUUUUUAUGUGAUUAUACAAAAAUGUGACUGCAGAUCAAAUUUAAGAAAUGAUUUAAAGGGUUAUUAUAAACCUGUGAAUGAUAAAAAAAGCGAAAACCGUUUUCAAAUAAAAUUACCUGUAAUUAAUUUCCCUAGUAACAAGAAUGUAAAUAAUUACUUAGAAAUGGAAAGAAGUAAUCCAGGUAGCAUGUGGAAUAACAACAAGAGUCGUAGUAGUGGUAGUGGUAGUCCAACAGGUUCCUAUUCAUCAACAGCAGUAGCAGCAAUAGUAGCAAACGCUACACCCUCUUUAUUAAAUGCAGUUUAUUUAUUUGCUUCUGUAUGUUUUAUAUUAUGUUUAACAGGGUUAAAUGAUUUUAAAACAUCAAAAAGAGGUAAUAUAUUAGGUAUUGUUGGUAUUAUAUCAGCUAUAUUAGUAACAUUUAUGCAAGUUGGAUAUGCUUUUAACUAUGGUUUAUUUUUUUUAAUUAUAAUUCCAGCAAUAAUUUUGGGUUUGUAUAUAGCACAUACUGUAAGCAUGGUCCAGUUGCCACAGUUAGUAGCACUAUUUCAUAGUUUUGUUGGUUUGUCUGCUUUAUUAGUAGGUUUUUCGAAAUACCAUUCUGUACUUCUAGAACAAUAUGAGAUUAGUAAGUUGCAUUUAAUUGAACUUUAUCUUGGGACAUUUAUUGGUGCCAUUACAUUUGUUGGUUCUAUUGUAGCUUGUUGUAAAUUAAGUGGGAUAAUUGAUAGUAAAUCUUUAAAACUAAAAAUGAAAAUUUUUUUUAAUAUAUUAUGUAUGAUUAUAAUUAUAAUAUUAGGCUAUUAUUUUAUUACUACACAAUCAAAGUAUGUUAGAACUAUUUUGUUGUACAUAUCUGUUUUGGUUGAAACGUUACUUGGUUUUCAUUUAGUAGCAUCAAUAGGUGCCGCGGAUAUGCCUGUUGUUAUCAGCACUUUAAACUCGUACUCUGGUUUUUCUACUGCUAUUAGUGGUUUUUUAUUAGAGAAUAAUUUAUUAAUUAUAGCAGGAGCAUUGAUUGGUUCUGCUGGGGCUAUUUUAUCUUACAUUAUGUGUAUAAGUAUUAACCGUGACAUAUUAAAUGUUGUGUUAGGUACAUGGGAUGAAUAUGACAAUAUAUCGGUUUCGUCAAUUCAUGACAAAAAAAAUAUGCAGGAUGGAAAGAUAGGAGAAACCGAUUUAAGUAAAAAAAAAAAAAAAACAAUAAACUCAACGACAUAUAAAUAUGUAGCUGAAAAUUUAAUUAACGCUAAAAACAUAAUUAUAGUUCCAGGAUAUGGUGCAGCAGUUAGUAAAUGUCAAAGAGAGUUAGCAGAAUUGAGUAGUAUAUUAAGUUCUCGAAAUAUUGAAGUAAAUUUUGCUAUACAUCCAGUAGCUGGUAGAAUGCCUGGACAUUUAAAUGUGCUGCUAGCUGAAGCAAAUGUGCCAUAUAAUAUAGUUAAAGAAAUGAAUGAAAUUAAUAAUAAAAUAGAAAAUGCAGAUAUGGUAUUAGUUGUAGGUGCUAAUGAUAUAGUAAACCCUUCUUGUUAUGAUCCAGGAAGUAACAUUUAUGGUAUGUCUGUUAUUGAAGUAUGGAAAAGUAAACAAGUUGUUGUUUUAAAAAGAGGAAUGAACACUGGAUAUUCAGCAAUUGACAAUCCAUUAUUUCAUUUUCAUAAUACUUAUAUGCUUUUUGGUGAUGCAAAACAUACAGUUAAUCAACUUCUAACUAUUAUGAAUGAUUACACUAGUCGAAAUUAUGUAGAUAAUAUAAAUGCAAUUGGUAGGUCCAUAGAAAAUAAAGAAAAAGGUAAAGCUAUGUCUUUUCACUCUAUUACAGAAAACAUACUUAACUCAGAUGCGUUAGAACAAGCGGAAGUAGACUAUCCAAAGGCUAGACGAAUAUUAGGUCUUAUAUCAGAUACAAAUGUUGUAUCAAAUAGUCAGUUAAAAAAAGAAAAAGGACGAAAACAACAAAAUGAAGAUGCAAAUGCUCAAUCAGGAGUUGUAAAUCUUUCUAUUGUUCCUAUUAUCCCACAAUAUAUACCUAAAUUAAAAAAAAUGGGUUUUCAUGUAAUAAUAGAAAAAGGAUUAGGAGAAAAAAUAAGCAUAAACGAUUCGGAAUAUGAAAAAUAUGGUGCUGAAAUAAAAGAACAAGAAAAUGUGUUAAGAGAAAGUAACAUUUUAUUAAAAGUUGAUCCACCAAGUAUGAAGUUUAUUAAUAAAAUACCAAACAAUACAGUUUUAAUUAGUUAUUUAUGGCCUAGUAUAAAUAAAGAAUUGUUAGAAAAAGCAAUAGAAGAUAAAAACAAACAAAACAUCACAUAUAUAGCUAUUGAUGAAGUCCCUAGGUCUAGUCGUGCACAAAAAGUGGAUAUCAGAAGUUCCAUGAGUAAUUUACAAGGAUAUCGGGCUGUUAUUGAAGCAUUUUAUAUGUUACCUAGGUUUAGUAAAUCAUCUAUUACUGCAGCAGGCAAAAUAAAUCCAGCUAAGGUUUUUGUCAUCGGAGCAGGAGUUGCUGGUUUGCAGGCAAUAGUAACAGCUAAGAGUAUGGGUGCUAUAGUAUAUGCACAUGAUGUACGUGCAGCAACAGAAGAAGAAGUAAAAAGUUGUGGAGGUGUGUUUAUUAACAUACCGACUGAUAGUGAUAAGGAUUAUAAUGAAGCAGAAGCGGAAAAUGCGGGAGUAGAAAAGUCGGAAGUAGAAAAAAUAGAAGUAGUUAUACCAAAUGAUGAAAAAGACCAACCAGAUGACGCAAAAAAACACUCAACAAGCGUAAACGGAAACAAAGAUGAAGAAUAUGAAAAAAGACGAAACAACAUAUAUAAAAAAAUUAUACAAAACUGUGAUGUUGUGAUUUGUAGUGCAUUUAUCCCUGGUAAAAGUUCUCCUAAAUUAGUUACCACAGAAAUGAUUAGACUUAUGAAAAGUGGCAGUGUAGCAGUAGAUUUAUCCACUGAAUUUGGUGAUAAAAAAAAUAAUUGGGGUGGAAAUAUCGAAUGUUCUGAGUCCAAUAAAAAUGUCAUAAUAAAUGGAGUAAAUGUAUUAGGAAGAGACAAAAUAGAAAGAAAUAUGCCACUUCAAGCAUCAGAUUUACUUUCAAUGAAUAUAAUAAAUUUAUUAGAAGAAAUGGGAGGUGGUUUACAAUUUAAUGUAAAUCUUAACAAUGAUAUUAUAAAACCAUUAGUUGCAAUUAAAGAUGGUGCUAUAUUAUAUUCUCCAAACAACUCACUUGAAAAAUUAAAUAAAAGUGAUAGUGUAUUUAUUAGUAAACAAGUAGAUAUAAAACAUGAGUAUUCUGUAGAAAAAAAUAAAAUCACAUACCCUACUGGUACAUGUUUAUUAGAAAAGUUUACAGAGUCAGACAUUUUCUUUUAUACUUGUCUUAUUUGUGCUAUGCUAAUUACAAUAUUAAUAGGAGUAAUGUUUACUCAGUCUUACUUACAUCACGUAUUUCUGUUUACUUUAUCUUUGAUUGUUGGAUAUUAUUGUGUGUGGUCCGUAACGUCUUCAUUGCAUACGCCUUUAAUGUCGGUCACGAAUGCGCUAUCUGGAGUUAUAAUUAUCGGAAGUAUGGUUGAAUACGGGAAUAGUUACACAAGUUUAAGUUCGAUUAUGUCGAUAAUGGCUACCUUUUUAGCUACUGUAAAUUUAUCAGGUAUUGCUGCGAUUACUUCAUGUAUUUCGUUUCAUUCGUUUAUCUGUUUGUGAAAAAAAAAAAAAAAAACACAAAAAAAACUUUUCUAAAAGUGUUUACUCACAUGUAUUGUGCACUGGUACGGGUAAAAUCGUCCACCACGUUAAAGCGUAUGCAACAAUCAUAUAAUACGUUUUGUUUUUUAUAUUUGCUCACACUCAUUAUUUUAUACUUUUUUUUAGGAGGAUUUGCUGUAACUAAAAGAAUGCUUGACAUGUUUACAAACUAGAAGCAUAACAUUUUUUUUUUUUUUUUUUUUUUCAGUAAAAGUUGGGUAUUUUUGAGAAUAUUUAAUUAAUUUGUAUAUAUUUUCUUUUUUCUAUUUUUUUAGCUUACUUUCAAUUCAAACUUUUUCUAAAAAUUUUUUAAUGAUUUUAUCUAUCCAUAUUGUUUAUGUUUUCUCGAAAAUAGCUAUACUUCUUUGUUUGUCUUUUUUUUGCCUUGUUAUUUAUUUUAUUAUUAUUUUUUUUAACUAUUAUCUAAAUUUAAAUAUUAAAAUAUUUAUUAAAGUUGUGCCCGUUUGUUCGUUCGCUUUUAUAAUCUUUUUUUUU